rnacentral:misc_RNA from 1 species
UGUAGGAGUGAGCCUGCUCGCGAUAGCGGUAUGUCUGUGACGUCUUCACGUCUGACAAACCGCCAUCGCGAGCAGGCUCACUCCUACA